UUAUUUUGAAAUAUACUUAUGAACUAAUAAAAUAAUGUUCCAUUUGAUAUUUUAGAGAAUUUGACUAUAUUUGUCAUCAUAUUUCAAUUCUAGUUUAUAAUAAUACAUUUAUAUAUGUUAAAAACUAAUGUAGAUUAAUAAACUUAAAUUACUUAAAAAGUUAAUAGAUUUAUAAUUUAAUCAAAGUAUAAAUUUUAAUAUAUAAAUAAUAAUCGUAAUAAAAAUAUUAUUCAUGUUAACUUAAAUAGGCCGGCCUAGUAGGCCUCAAAGGCUUUUUUAAUGGCCUGCGGCCUGGCCCUUUUAGCUAAAUAGGCUUAUAAAAAAGCAUUGGACUGCUCUAUUUAAAGAAAUAGGCUGGCCUGGCCUGAGCCUAUGUAGGCUAGGCCUUAAGGCCAUGUAGGCCGGCCUGGCCUGUUCCCACCUCUAG
rnacentral:lncRNA from 1 species